rnacentral:rRNA from 1 species
GCAAGUCGAACGGUAACAGGAAGCAGCUUGCUGCUUUGCUGACGAGUGGCGGACGGGUGAGUAAUGUCUGGGAAACUGCCCGAUGGAGGGGGAUAACUACUGGAAACGGUAGCUAAUACCGCAUAAUGUCGCAAGACCAAAGAGGGGGACCUUCGGGCCUCUUGCCAUCGGAUGUGCCCAGAGGGGAGUAGCGUGUUGGGGAGGUAACGGCUCACCAAGGCGACGAUCCCUAGCUGGUCUGAGAGGAUGACC